rnacentral:rRNA from 1 species
AGAACGAACGCUGGCGGCAGGCCUCAAACAUGCAAGUCUAGGGGGAUGUAGCAAUACGUCACCGGCGGACGGGUGCGUAACACGUGGGAAUGUACUUACUGGUUCGGAACAACUCAGGGGAAACUUGAGCUAAUACCGAAUGUGCCCGAAAGGGGAAAGAUUUAUCGCCAGUAAAUCAGCCCGCGUCCGAUUAGCUAGUUGGUGGGGUAAAGGCUCACCAAGGCGACGAUCGGUAGCUGUUCUGAGAGGAAGAUCAGCCACACUGGGACUGAGACACGGCCCAGACUCCUACGGGAGGCAGCAGUUGGGAAUCUUGGACAAUGGGGGAAACCCUGAUCCAGCCAUGCCGCGUGAGUGAUGAAGGCCUUCGGGUUGUAAAACUCUUUCGACGGGGACAUAAUGACGGUACCCGUAGAAGAAGCUCCGGCUAACUUCGUGCCAGCAGCCGC